AGAGUGAACGCUGGCGGCAGGCCUAACACAUGCAAGUCGAGCGGCAGCGCGGGGGCAACCCUGGCGGCGAGCGGCGGACGGGUGAGGAAUACAUCGGAAUCUACCUUGUUGUGGGGGAUAACGUAGGGAAACUUACGCUAAUACCGCAUAAGACCUGAGGGUGAAAGCGGGGGACCGCAAGGCCUCGCGCGACAAGAUGAGCCGAUGUCCGAUUAGCUAGUGGUGAGGUAAAGCUCACCAAGGCGACGAUCGGUAGCUGGUCUGAGAGGAUGAUCAGCCACACUGGAACUGAGACACGGUCCAGACUCCUACGGGAGCAGCAGUGGGAAUAUGGACAAUGGGGACAACCCUGAUCCAGCCAUGCCGCGUGUGUAGAAGAGGCCUUCGGGUUAGUAAAGCUACGUUUUUUGUUCGGAAGAAAUACUCAACGAAUUUAAGUACGUACGGUAGGAGUGACGGUACGAAGAAUAAGCACGCUAACUUCG
rnacentral:rRNA from 1 species